GCGGCGGCAGCGGCGGCGGCGGCGGCGGCGGCGGCGGCAGCGACCGACGGGGUACACUGGUGAGGGGAACGGCGCGGCGGAGCAGACACACAGUGGAUCUGUAUGGCGUGUGACAUGGGCACAUCCUGAAUUCGGACAGGUUUUGGCUUCCUGUUCUUUUGACCGAACAGCUGCUGUGUGGGAAGAAAUAGUAGGAGAAUCAAAUGAUAAACUGCGAGGACAGAGUCACUGGAAACUGACAAGCUGAUCUUAAUAUUCAUGUGAAAAUGCAAGGAACCCAGAGGAGCCAAGACAAUCUUGAGAAAAAAGAACAAAGUUGGCGGACUCACACUUCCUGAUUUCAAAAUGUACUACUAAAGUAUGGUAGUACUUUAAAGUAUAAUCCCAAAGGCACAAGGACAAAAGAAAAAACUGAUAAGUUGGACUAUAAUAACAUUAAAAACUUUUGUGCUUCAAAGGACACAAUUGAGAAAGGGGAGAGACACCACCGAAUAAAAGAAAAUAUUUGCAAAUUAUAUAUUUAAUAAGGGACAUGUAUCCAUAAUAUAAA